UACGGGGGGGGCAAGCGUUGUUCGGAAUUACUGGGCGUAAAGGGCUCGUAGGCGGCCAACUAAGUCAGACGUGAAAUCCCUCGGCUUAACCGGGGAACUGCGUCUGAUACUGGAUGGCUUGAGUUCGGGAGAGGGAUGCGGAAUGCCAGGUGUAGCGGUGAAAUGCGUAGAUAUCUGGAGGAACACCGGUGGCGAAGGCGGCAUCCUGGACCGAUACUGACGCUGAGGAGCGAAAGCCAGGGGAGCAAACGGG
rnacentral:rRNA from 1 species